rnacentral:rRNA from 1 species
GACAGAGGCCCCGAGCGUUAGGCGGAAUCACUGGGCUUAAAGCGUGUGUAGGCGGAUCGUUAAGUGUCUUGUGAAAUCCCACGGCUCACCCGUGGAACUGCUGGGCAUACUGGCGAUCUUGGGCCAUUCAGGGGCGACUGGAACAAGCGGUGGAGCGGUGAAAUGCGUAGAUAUCGAGAGGAACACCUGCGGCGAAGGUGGGUUGCUGGGCUGACACUGACGCUGGAGGCGCGAAAGCUAGGGGAGCGAACGGG